rnacentral:rRNA from 1 species
AGUGAACGCUGGCGGUAGGCCUAAUACAUGCAAGUCGAACGGCAGCACAGUAAGAGCUUGCUCUUACGGGUGGCGAGUGGCGGACGGGUGAGGAAUACAUCGGAAUCUACUUUUUCGUGGGGGAUAACGUAGGGAAACUUACGCUAAUACCGCAUACGACCUACGGGUGAAAGCAGGGGAUCUUCGGACCUUGCGCGAUUGAAUGAGCCGAUGUCGGAUUAGCUAGUUGGCGGGGUAAAGGCCCACCAAGGCGACGAUCCGUAGCUGGUCUGAGAGGAUGAUCAGCCACACUGGAACUGAGACACGGUCCAGACUCCUACGGGAGGCAGCAGUGGGGAAUAUUGGACAAUGGGCGCAAGCCUGAUCCAGCCGUACCGCGUGGGUGAAGAAGGCCUUCGGGUUGUAAAGCCCUUUUGUUGGGAAAGAAAAGCAGCAGGUUAAUACCCCGCUGUUCUGACGGUACCCAAAGAAUAAGCACCGGCUAACUUCGUG